GAUGAACGCUAGUGGCAGGCUUAACACAUGCAAGUCGAGGGGCAUCACGGGUAGCAAUACCUGGUGGCGACCGGCGCGAGGGUGCGUAACGCGUGAGCAACAUGCCCUAUACAGGGGGAUAAUCCAGGGAAACUUGGUCUAAUAUCCCAUAGCAUUUAGAGGUGGCAUCACCAUUAAAUUAAAGCUUCGGUGGUAUAGGAUUGGCUCGCGUGACAUUAGCUAGAUGGUGGGGUAACGGCUCACCAUGGCUAUGAUGUCUAGGGGUUCUGAGAGGAAGACCCCCCACACUGGGACUGAGACACGGCCCAGACUCCUACGGGAGGCAGCAGUGAGGAAUAUUGGACAAUGGAUGGAAAUCUGAUCCAGCCAUGCCGCGUGCAGGAAGACGGCCCUAUGGGUUGUAAACUGCUUUUAUAUGGGAGCAAUAAGGUCUAACGAGUAGACCGAUGAGAGUACCAUAUGAAUAAGCAUCGG
rnacentral:rRNA from 1 species